GGACUGAAACUACGUCUGACCUGCCCACUGAAUUUUAAAUGGCCGCAGUAUAUUAACUGUGCAAAGGUAGCAUAAUCAUUAGUCUUUUAAUUGAAGGCUGGAAUGAAUGGUUGGACGAAAUAUUAACUGUUUCAAAUGAAUUUAUUAUAGAAUUUUAUUUUUUAGUUAAAAAGCUAAAAUUUAUUUAAAAGACGAGAAGACCCUAUAAAUCUUUAUAAUUUGAUUAUAUUAACAAUAAAGAAUAAUUUUUUUAUUAUAAUUUAAAUUAUUUUAUUGGGGUGAUAUUAAAAUUUAAUGAACUUUUAAUUAAUUAAAUCAUUAAUUUAUGAAUUUUUGAUCCAAUUUUAUUGAUUAAAAAUUUAAGUUACUUUAGGGAUAACAGCGUAAUUUUUUUGGAGAGUUCAUAUCGAUAAAAAAGAUUGCGACCUCGAUGUUGGAUUAAGAGAUAGAUUUGGGUGUAGCCGUUCAAAUUAUUAAGUCUGUUCGACUUUUAAAUUCUUACGUGAUCUGUUCCACGAACGGGGA
rnacentral:rRNA from 2 species